CGCAUCUGUGCAUGCAGCAUAUCAAUAAGCGGAGGAAAAGAAACUAACAAGGAUUCCCCUAGUAACGGCGAGUGAAGCGGGAAGAGCUCAAAUUUGAAAUCUUAAAGGGUUUCCCUUUACGAAUUGUAGUUUAAAGAAGUGUUUUCUGUUGAGGUUUUGGUAAAAGUUCUUUGGAAUAGGACAUCAUAGAGGGUGAGAAUCCCGUAUUUGACCUUUACUUUCAACUUUGUGAUACACUUUCAAAGAGUCGGAUUGUUUGGGAAUGCAGUCCAAAAUGGGUGGUAAAUUUCAUCUAAAGCUAAAUAUUGGCGAGAGACCGAUAGCGAACAAGUACCGUGAGGGAAAGAUGAAAAGAACUUUGAAAAGAGAGUUAAACAGUACGUGAAAUUGUCAAAAGGGAAGCGUUUGACACCAGUGUUGUUUUUCUGAAAAUCAAUUAAAGAACUGUUUAUGCUAAGCUGUUUAGACUUUAUCAGCUAACUGUUUAGUUUUGAGCUUUUCUUUAAUGCACUUUUCAGUUAACAAGUCAACAUCAAUUUCUUUUGCUGUAAAAAAGCUUGAGGAAGGUGGCUUGAGAUUCGUCUUAAGUGUUUAUAGCCUCUUGCCUAUGCAGUCGGAGAGAUUGAGGUCUGCAGCGUAGAUCCUUCGGGGCUAAAUGUAUUUGUGCUAAGUUAUAGCAUUUUAUAGACAACUUGUUGACUAUGAUUUGUCUUGUAGCUUACUCGCUUAUGUUAUUUUACCUACGCUUAGGAUGUUGAGUCAUCACACAUCUCU
rnacentral:rRNA from 1 species